rnacentral:tRNA from 1 species
UAGCUUAGUUGGUAAAUCAUCUGCCUGCAAUGCAGGAGACCCAGGUUCGAUUCCUGG